rnacentral:rRNA from 1 species
GAUGAACGCUAGCGGCAGGCUUAAUACAUGCAAGACGAACGGUAACUGUUGUAGCAAUACAAUAGCAAGAGUGUCGUACGGGUGCGUAACACGUAUGCAACCUACCUUGUACAGGAGGAUAGCUCGGGGAAACUCGAAUCAACCCUCCAUAACAUAACGAUGUGGCAUCACAUUGUUAUUAAAACUGAGGUGGUACAAGAUGGGCAUGCGAUUGAUUAGAGUUGGCAGUGUAACGGACUACCAAGACGAUGAUCAAUAGGGGGACCUGAGAGGGGUNAUCCCCCACACUGGCACUGAGAUACGGGCCAGACUCCUACGGGAGGCAGCAGUAGGGAAUAUU